rnacentral:ncRNA from 1 species
UUCGGUCUCGCUGUAUUUCCUAUACAGCCCCCUGCAUUGCCGUCGCCGACUCAAUUUCAUUACGAAUUACUCGCGAUCCAGUCGCCUUCUGUGCGGCGCGGC